rnacentral:rRNA from 1 species
UACGAAGGGGGCUAGCGUUGCUCGGAAUCACUGGGCGUAAAGCGCACGUAGGCGGGUCGUUAAGUCGGGGGUGAAAUCCUGGAGCUCAACUCCAGAACUGCCUUCGAUACUGGCGAUCUUCGAGUCCGGGAGAGGUGAGUGGAACUCCGAGUGUAGAGGUGAAAUUCGUAGAUAUUCGGAAGAACACCAGUGGCGAAGGCGGCUCACUGGCCCGGUACUGACGCUGAGGUGCGAAAGCGUGGGGAGCAAACAGG